ACAAAGGACAUUUUGAGUUUCUUGGGUUAGCUGAGACUGAAGAUCAUUUUAUCAUCAUGUGGAGGUUUUUCUUGACAAUAACAUCAAGAUGCUUCUCAAUAUCAACAAGCAACAGAGCACUUAAAUGAUGGGAUCAUGUAGCUUCUGCUCCAAAAAAUCCCAUUACUAGUGUCACUGAGGCUUUUAUUGCUGACACUAGUCCCACGAAGAUCAAUCUUGGAGUGGGAGCUUGUAGGGAUGAUGAAGGGAAACCUGUUAUCCUUCAAUGUGUUAGAGAGGCCGGGGCCAAGAUUACUGGUUGUGACUUCUUGUGAGUUUCAUUUUCUUAAUUUACUUAAUAGUGUAAUUUCUUGGUAUUCAUCAGAAUACUACCUAUAUGUUUGAUGUGUUUUCUUACAAUGAUAUCUUUUAGAAACCCCAGCUCUAAUUAGCAAGAAGAGAGCUUGGCUUUUAACAUACAUUUUCUUUUUGUCCAGAGCUUCUCUGUAAUUUGGAAGUUCAUAAUUUGCUGUUUCUUUGUAAUGUUGCCCUUGUUUCUAGCAUGAACAGUUCAUUUUAGGGUCAUUACAUAUCUAACUUCAAAAUGACAAUUUCAGCAUUUUAAUGCCCUAGAUCAUGGCUGUUCUGAAAUGGGAAUUAUUUAUGGUAAUUAUGGUGCCAUCGAAUUGAUCUAAUUUUGUAUUUCAAUCUGUUUGUAUAAGUAAACUGUUAAUUGUAAAAAGAAGAGACAAAAUGUGGAUUUGAUUUAUUCUUGCUGCUCAAAUAUUUUAGACAAAGUUUACAGAGAAAUGGUUAGUCAUGCUUCCCGCAUAUUACAAAUAAAUUCAUUCAAUUGCCAAAACCAUUUGUUGAAAGCAAAUUUUAUCCUUAACGAACUCCUCUCUGCUACUGAAUCUUUUAUGGCCUCAACUUUUUAGAGGUACUGGCAGGGAGUCGGUAUCCUCUGCAGUGAGUUCAAAACUAGUUUCCGGUAGUGUCAAAUCGGUUAAUGGAAAGAAUUCGGAUGUUAUAAAAGAAGGGAGAUUUGCUGGAAUUCAAUUUCUGUCAGGAACUGGUGAUUGUAGUCUCUUUGCCGAGUUCCAGAAGCAUUGAUGUCCUAAAUCUCCAAUGUAUUUGCCUGAUCCCACUUGGUCCUAGCAAGUUUGUUUGGUAUCUUCAGUAAUUUCUCAGUGAUGAUGUGUGUACAUAUCCGUAGCAUGGCAUGC